UACGGGGGGGGCAAGCGUUGUUCGGAAUUACUGGGCGUAAAGGGCUCGUAGGCGGCCAACUAAGUCAGACGUGAAAUCCCCAGGCUUAACCUGGGAACUGCGUCUGAUACUGGAUGGCUUGAAUUCGGGAGAGGGAUGCAGAAUUCCAGGUGUAGCGGUGAAAUGCGUAGAUAUCUGGAGGAACACCGGUGGCGAAGGCGGCGUCCUGGACCAACACUGACACUGAUGAGCGAAAGCCAGGGGAGCAAACGGG
rnacentral:rRNA from 1 species